rnacentral:lncRNA from 1 species
AUUAUGUGCACAUUGUGCAUGCAUGCAGCUCCUUUGAAUGUGUGUGUGCACGUGGUGCAUGCAUGCAGCUCUUUUGCAUGUGUGUGUGCACAUCGUGCAUGCAUGCAGCUCCUUUGCAUGUGGGUCUGAACAUACUGCAUGCAUGCAUCUGAUUUGCAUGUGAGUGUGCACAGUGCAUGCAUGCAGCUCCUUUGCAUGUGGGCGUGCACAGCUGCUUUGCAUGUGUGUGCACAUAAUGCAUGCGUGCAGCUGCUUUGCAUGUGUGCGUGCACAUCGUGCAUGCAUGCAGCUCUUCUGUAUGUGGGUUUGCAUAUAAUGCAUGCAUGCAGCUCCUUUGCUUGGGGGUGUGUGCAUAUAGUGCAUGCAUGCAGCUGCUUUGCGUGUGUGUGUGCACGUCGUGCGUGCAUGCAGCUCCUUUGCAUGUGAGUGUGCCCAUGGUGCAUGCAUGCAGCUGCUUUGCACGUGAUUAUGUGCACUUUGUGCAUGCGUGCAGCUCCUUUGCAUGUGUAUGUGCACGUAGUGCAUGCAUGCAGCUCUUUUGUAUGUGGGUCUGCACAUCGUUCAUGCAUGGAGCUCCUUUCCAUGAGGUGUGUGCACGUGGUUCAUGCAUGCAGCUCUUUUGCAUCUGUGUGUGCACAUAGUGCAUGCAUGCAGCUCCUUUGCACGUGAGUGUGUGCACAUAGUGCAUGCUUGCAGCUGCUUUGCAUGUGGGUGUGUGAACAUUGUGCAUGCAUGCAGCUGCUUUGUACGUGAGUGUGCACAGUGCAUGCAUGCAGCUCUUUUGCAUCUGUGUGUGCACAUAGUGCAUGCAUGCAGCUCCUUUGCAUGUGGAUGUGUGCACAGUGUAUGCAUGCAGCUCCUUUGCAUGUGUGUGCGCCCGUGGUGCAUGCAUGCAGCUGCUUUGCAUGUGGGUGUGCACAUAGUGCAUGCAUGCAGCUGCUUUGCAUGUGAGUGUGUGGCCAUGUUGCAUGCAUGCAGCUGCGUUGCAUGUGGGUGUACACGUAGUGCGUGCAUGCAGCUCCUUUGCAUGUGUGUGUGUGGACAUGUUGCAUGCAUGCAGCUGCUUUGCAUGUGAGUGUGUGCACAUGGUGCAUGCAUGCAGCUGCUUUGCAUGUGUGUGUGCACAGCUGCUUUGCAUGUGUGUGUGCACAUCGUGCAUGCAUGCAGCUGCUUUGCAUGUGAGUGUGUGGCCAUGUUGCAUGCAUGCAGCUCCUUUGCAUGUCAGUGUGCCCAUGGUGAAUGCAUGCAGCUGCUUUUCACGUGAUUAUGUGCACUUUGUGCAUGCGUGCAGCUCCUUUGCAUGUGUAUGUGCACGUAGUGCAUGCAUGCAGCUCUUUUGUAUGUGGGUCUGCACAUCGUUCAUGCAUGGAGCUCCUUUCCAUGAGGUGUGUGCACGUGGUUCAUGCAUGCAGCUCUUUUGCAUCUGUGUGUGCACAUAGUGCAUGCAUGCAGCUCCUUUGCAUGUGUGUGUG